CCUACGGGAGGCAGCAGUGAGGAAUAUUGGUCAAUGGGCGCUAGCCUGAACCAGCCAAGUAGCGUGAAGGAUGACUGCCCUAUGGGUUGUAAACUUCUUUUAUAUGGGAAUAAAGUGCAGUAUGUAUACUGCUUUGCAUGUACCUUAUGAAUAAGGAUCGGCUAACUCCGUGCCAGCAGCCGCGGUAAUACGGAGGAUCCGGGCGUUAUCCGGAUUUAUUGGGUUUAAAGGGAGCGUAGGCGGGUUGUUAAGUCAGGUGUGAAAGUUUGCGGCUCAACCGUAAAAUUGCAGUUGAUACUGGCAGCCUUGAGUACAGUAGAGGUAGGGGGAAUUCGUGGUGUAGCGGUGAAAUGCGUAGAUAUCACGAAGAACUCCGAUUGCGAAGGCAGACUGCUGGACUGUAACUGACGCUGAGGAUCGAAAGUGUGGGUAUCAAACAGGAUUAGAUACCCCUGUAGUC
rnacentral:rRNA from 1 species